rnacentral:rRNA from 1 species
AGAAUUUCUAGUGUAGAGGUGAAAUUCGUAGAUAUUAGAAAGAAUACCAAUUGCGAAGGCAGCUUUCUGGAUCAUUACUGACGCUGAGGAACGAAAGCAUGGGUAGCGAAGAGGAUUAGAUACCCUCGUAGUCCAUGCCGUAAACGAUGUGUGUUAGACGUUGGAAAUUUAUUUUCAGUGUCGCAGUGAAAGCGAUAAACACACCGCCUGGGGAGUACGACCGCAAGGUUAAAACUCAAAUGAAUUGACGGGGACCCGCACAAGUAGUGGAGCAUGUGGUUUAAUUCGAAGAUACGCGCAGAACCUUACCAACACUUGACAUGUUCGUCGCGACUCUAAGAGAUUAGAGUUUUCGGUUCGGCCGGACGAAACACAGGUGCUGCAUGGCUGUCGUCAGCUCGUGUCGUGAGAUGUUGGGUUAAGUCCCGCAACGAGCGCAACCCUCACUUUUAGUUGCCAUCAUUAAGUUGGGCACUCUGAAAGAACUGCCAGUGAUAAGCUGGAGGUAGGUGGGGAUGACGUCAAGUCCUCAUGGCCCUUACGUGUUGGGCUACACACGUGCUACAAUGGGUAUCUACAACAGGAAGCAAGACGGGCGACGUUAAGCAAAUCCUUAAAAGAUACCUCAGUUUCGGAUUGCACUCUGCAACUCGAGUGCAUGAAGCUGGGAAUUACUAGUAAUCGUGGAUCAGCGUGCCACGGUGAAUGCGUUCCCGGGGUCUUGUACACACCGCCCGUCACACCAUGGGGAGUUGGUUCUACCUUAAGGCAAGUUUUAAACCCUUGACCACGGUAUAGUCAGCGACUGGGGGUGAAGUC